CCUACGGGUGGCAGCAGUGGGGGAUAUUGGACAAUGGGGGAAACCCUGAUCCAGCGACGCCGCGUGAGUGAAGAAGUAUUUCGGUAUGUAAAGCUCUGUUAGCAGGGAAGAACGAAAUGACGAUAAAUGACACAGAAGCUCCGGCUAACUACGUGCCAGCAGCCGCGGUAAUACGUAGGGGGCAAGCGUUAUCCGGAAUUACUGGGCGUAAAGGGAGCGUAGACGGUGAUGAAAGUCUGGAGUGAAAGGCCGGGGCUCAACACCCGGACGGCUCUGGAAACUGGGUAACUUGAGUGCAGGAGAGGUGAGUGGAAUUCCAAGUGUAGCGGUGAAAUGCGUAGAUAUUAGGAGGAACACCAGUGGCGAAGGCGGCUUUCUGGACUGUAACUGACGUUGAGGCUCGAAAGCGUGGGGAGCAAACAGGAUUAGAUACCCUAGUAGUC
rnacentral:rRNA from 1 species